GGCCAGGUCCCAUGCAUGGGCAGGCGCGUGAACCCCGCCAGGGCCGGAAGGCAGCAACGGCAGCGACGUUCUCCCAGUGCCGUGGGGUGCCUGGCCACC
rnacentral:SRP_RNA from 1 species